rnacentral:rRNA from 1 species
CCUACGGGAGGCAGCAGUGGGGAGUAUUGGACAAUGGGGGCAACCCUGAUCCAGCCAUGCCGCGUGUGUGAAGAAAGCCCUCGGGUUGUAAAGCACUUUCAGUGAGGAAGAACGCCUGGUGGUUAAUACCCAUCAGGAAAGACAUCACUCACAGAAGAAGCACCGGCUAACUCCGUGCCAGCAGCCGCGGUAAUACGGAGGGUGCGAGCGUUAAUCGGAAUUACUGGGCGUAAAGCGCGCGUAGGUGGCUUGAUAAGCCGGUUGUGAAAGCCCCGGGCUCAACCUGGGAACGGCAUCCGGAACUGUCAAGCUAGAGUGCAGGAGAGGAAGGUAGAAUUCCCGGUGUAGCGGUGAAAUGCGUAGAGAUCGGGAGGAAUACCAGUGGCGAAGGCGGCCUUCUGGACUGACACUGACACUGAGGUGCGAAAGCGUGGGUAGCAAACAGGAUUAGCUACACGGGUAGUC